GCCGAGGUGGCGGAAUUGGUAGACGCGCUGGACUCAAAAUCCAGUGGUAGGAAUAUCGUGCGGGUUCGAUUCCCGCCCUCGGCACCA
rnacentral:tRNA from 1 species